rnacentral:rRNA from 1 species
UGCGCAGGCGGCCGUGUGUGUCAGGUGUGAAAUCCCGGGGCUUAACCCCGGAACUGCGCCUGAAACUACAUGGCUAGAGUAUUGGAGAGGGUAGCGGAAUUCACGGUGUAGCAGUGAAAUGCGUAGAUAUCGUGAGGAACACCAGAGGCGAAGGCGGCUACCUGGACAAUUACUGACGCUCAGGCACGAAAGCGUGGGGAGCAAAAGGGAUUAGAUACCCCUGUAGUCCACGCCCUAAACGGUGCACACUAGGUCUUGGCGGAUUCGACCCCACCAGGGCCCAAGCUAACGCGUUAAGUGUGCCGCCUGAGGACUACGGCCGCAAGGCUAAA